GACGAACGCUGGCGGCGUGCCUAAUACAUGCAAGUCGAACGCUUCUUUCCUCCCGAGUGCUUGCACUCAAUUGGAAAGAGGAGUGGCGGACGGGUGAGUAACACGUGGGUAACCUACCCACCAGAGGGGGAUAACACUUGGAAACAGGUGCUAAUACCGCAUAACAGUUUAUGCCGCAUGGCAUAAGAGUGAAAGGCGCUUUCGGGUGUCGCUGAUGGAUGGACCCGCGGUGCAUUAGCUAGUUGGUGAGGUAACGGCUCACCAAGGCCACGAUGCAUAGCCGACCUGAGAGGGUGAUCGGCCACACUGGGACUGAGACACGGCCCAGACUCCUACGGGAGGCAGCAGUAGGGAAUCUUCGGCAAUGGACGAAAGUCUGACCGAGCAACGCCGCGUGAGUGAAGAAGGUUUUCGGAUCGUAAAACUCUGUUGUUAGAGAAGAACAAGGACGUUAGUAACUGAACGUCCCCUGACGGUAUCUAACCAGAAAGCCACGGCUAACUACGUG
rnacentral:rRNA from 1 species